UGUUUGGAAGGCCACAAACAAAGCAUCAUUUGCCUUCUCCAUUCCAAGCAUUCCUUCUUAUAUAUAAGCCAUUAAAACUCACACCAUUCCAAACAACGUGCUCCUCAAACUUCUCUCUGUGUCUCUCCCUCCAUUUUCCGAGAACCGGUGGCUAGAUUUUCUAAACAUCCAAACGAUCAAAGAUGUUGAAAUCUAGCCUCCUCGUAGCAUCCGUCUCGGCCGCGUCUUCCAUGGUGGUUUCUGUUUCAUCUGCACCUUAUGUUUCUCAUCUGGCUUCGACAAAGAAAUUUACAGCGAGAUCUGAUGUUGUUCGAUUAUUUGAAACAUUGAUUACUGCUCCAAGAUGAAGUGAAUAAUCCUUCUCCUAAGAUUGUUAGGGUGAGACAAAGUGAGAAAGUUUGUAAUUUUAUGGGAAUUGUUGUGACUAUUUGGUAUUUUUUUUAAGAAUUUUUUUUUUGUUUGUGUUUAUUGAGGAUGUUUAAAAAGAAUAUUUAGUUAGUUUUAGAGAAAAAAAGAAUGUACGUGACCACUGUAAAAUAAUUUUACAUUGAUGGUCAGUCAACUACAUGUAUCAAACAAAAUUAUAUUUAAAUUUUAAAACUAAUGUAUGAUUUGCUAA